AUGGCUUCUCCACGGCGGCUUAAUCUUCUGCUGCUCCUCGCCGUGGUUGUCUCCUCGGGCUCGCUGGGUGUGGCCGCUCAAGGUGACGGGCAGGACUAGUACGCGUUCAAUCCUUACUGCUCGAACACGGACAACUACACUGACAGGGGCAUGUACGGGCGGAACCCCAUCGACCUCAUGAACGGCCUCCCGCAGGCCGCUAUAAGCAACGGCGGGUUCUACAACACCACGGCCGGCGUAGCGCCCGACGAGGUCUACGGCCUCCUCAUGUGCUUCGUCGACCGCAGCUGGUACCAUUGCCAGAACUGCCUCAAGGCCGGGGCGUCACGCGUGCAGAUGGUGUGCUCGCACAGCCGGGAGAUGAAGGCCGCCGCCGACGCCUGCCUCCUCCGGUACUCCAACCAGUCUUUCUUCUCAGUCGCCGACCUCACCCAAGCAUUCUUAGUGCAGUCAAACGUGGAUGUUGACGCCGGUGACAUGGCCACGAUGAAUGAUACGCGGUGGAGGCUGAUGGACCGGCUCGCGGAGAAGGCGGCCAAUUCGCCGAUGCGGUUUGCAAACGGAUCCGAGUCGUACAAGGGCUCGGAGUUGAUGCACGGGCUGGCGCAGUGUACCCGGGACUUGUCGGCGAGCGAGUGCACGAGGUGCCUCUCGUCCUACUCCUACAUCGUUCAAGAGCUGCCGCGGAUUUUCCCCGGCAACACUGCAGGCGGCAUCAAGGGGUAUAGCCAAAGUAGUGGGUAUAGCUGCUACGUGCUGUACCAGCUGCAGGAACCGAUCGACAUCGCCCUGCCGCCUUCACCGGCUCUGCCGCCGUUGUCCCCUCGACCUUCCGGAGAGCGAUCACCUCCGCCGCCACCGCCGCCGCCUCCUCCUACCAAAACAGGACUCAUCCUCGGCCUCUCCGUCGGUUCUGGGCUGUUUGUGAUCGUUCUGGGCUUGCUCAUAUGGCGGCGACAGCGAAGGCGAAAGUAUGCUAAUAUCUUGGACGAUGAUCUGGACAUGGAAGAAGCAGAUUUCGAGAAGGGCACCGGCCCAAAGCGAUUCCGAUACAGCGACCUGGCAGUUGCCACGGACAACUUCUCCGACGAGAAGAAGCUCGGGGAAGGAGGCUUUGGUUCGGUGUACAGAGGAUUCCUCAAGGAAUCGAACCUCGAGGUGGCUAUCAAGAGAAGUGAGCAAAGGCUCCCCCAGGGAAAGAAGGAGUACAUUUCCGAGGUGAGCAUCAUAAGCCGGCUUCGGCACCGCAACCUCGUGCAGCUCAUCGGCUGGUGUCACGCCGGCGGCGAGCUCCUCCUUGUCUACGAGCUAAUGCCCAACGGCAGCCUCGACACCCAUCUCCACGGUGCCAAGAACGCCGUGUUGACAUGGCAGGCCAGGCACGAGAUAGUGCUGGGAUUGGGCUCGGCCCUCCUGUACCUGCACCAAGAGUGGGAUCGGUGCGUGCUGCAUAGGGACACCAAGCCAAGCAACGUGAUGCUGGACGCCGCCCUCGCCGCCAAGCUCGGCGACUUUGGGCUCGUCAGGCUCGUCGACCACGGCCGAGGCUCGCACACGACCACGGUCGUCGCCGGUACCAUGGGGUACAUGGAUCCCGAGUGCAUGGUCACUGGCCAGGCUAGCGUGGCAUCUUACGUGUACAGUUUCGGCGUCCUCCUCCUGGAGAUAGCCUGCGGACGGACACCCGUCGUCGUUCUCCAGGACAAGUCCGCGGUGCACAUCUCGCAGCAGGUCUGGGAGUUGUACGGCGAAGGAGCCCUCCUCGACGCUGCGGACAGGUGCCUAGAGGGGGAGUUCGACCAGCGGGAGAUGGAGGCGGUGUUGGUCGUCGGGCUCUGGUGCGUGCAUCCUGAUAGGACCGUCAGGCCGUCAUCCAGGCAAGCCGUCAACGGGCUGCGGUUCGAGGCGCCACUGCCGAGCCUCCCCGCGAGCAUGCCUGCCGCCAGAUACGGUUUCUCCGGUUCAGGUUCCGCGUCUCUGGUCGUCACGGCCAGUAGCGCCAGCACCUUGUACACAACAAAGGGCGGAUCCAGCAAUGCCAGCACCGUGUCCUUUUAG
rnacentral:rRNA from 1 species